ACUCCUGCGGGAGGCAGCAGUGGGGAAUAUUGGACAAUGGGCGCAAGCCUGAUCCAGCCAUGCCGCGUGAGUGAUGAAGGCCCUCGGGUUGUAAAGCUCUUUCACCGGUGAAGAUAAUGACGGUAACCGGAGAAGAAGCCCCGGCUAACUUCGUGCCAGCAGCCGCGGUAAUACGAAGGGGGCUAGCGUUGUUCGGAUUUACUGGGCGUAAAGCGCACGUAGGCGGACUAUUAAGUCAGGGGUGAAAUCCCGGGGCUCAACCCCGGAACUGCCUUUGAUACUGGUAGUCUUGAGUUCGAGAGAGGUGAGUGGAAUUCCGAGUGUAGAGGUGAAAUUCGUAGAUAUUCGGAGGAACACCAGUGGCGAAGGCGGCUCACUGGCUCGAUACUGACGCUGAGGUGCGAAAGCGUGGGGAGCAAACAGGAUUAGAUACCCGAGUAGUCCCAUGA
rnacentral:rRNA from 1 species